rnacentral:rRNA from 1 species
AACGAACGCUGGCGGCAUGCCUAACACAUGCAAGUCGAACGCGACCUUCGGGUCUAGUGACGCAGGGGUGCGUUACGGGAGGGAAUCUUCACUUGGGUUCGGAAUAACAGUUAGAAAUGACUGCUAAUACCGGAUGAUGACGUAAGUCCAAAGAUAUAAGGCCCAAGUAUGAGCCGGCGUAAGAUUAGCUUGUUGAUGGGGUAACGGUCUACCAAGGCGACGAUAGUUAGCUGGUCUGAGAGGAUGAUCAGACACACUGGGGCUGAGACAGGGCCCAGACUCCUACGGGAUCGAGAAGUGGGGAAUUUUGGACAAUGGGAGGAUGCGUGAUCCAGCAAUGCCGUGUGAUUGAUGAAGGCCGUAGUGUUGUAAAGCUCUUUUACCAGGGAUGACAAUGACAGUACCUGGAGAACAAGCUACGGCUAACUCCGUGCCAGCCGCCGCAGUAA